rnacentral:ncRNA from 2 species
UUAAUAGUAUCCGGGAGCUAGGAGCACCUAGCUGAGAGGAAAACUAAUCUGUUUUCGACCGUACCUGAUCUGGAUAAUGCCAGCGUAGGGACAUAAGCUCUGUUGAUAG